UUGUCCUACGGGACGCAGCAGUGGGGGAUAUUGGACAAUGGGGGACACCCUGAUCCAGCGAUGCCGCGUGAGGGAAGAAGGUUUUCGGAUUGUAAACCUCUGUGGAGGGGGACGAUAAUGACGGUACCCCUUUAGGAAGCCACGGCUAACUACGUGCCAGCAGCCGCGGUAAUACGGAGGAUGCGCGCGUUAUCCGGCUUUAUUGGGUUUAAAGGGUGCGUAGGCGGACGCUUAAGUCAGCGGUAAACUUGCGGGGCUCAACCUCGUC
rnacentral:rRNA from 1 species